GGGUUGUGAGGUUAAGCGACUAAGCGUACACGGUGGAUGCCCUGGCAGUCAGAGGCGAUGAAGGACGUGCUAAUCUGCGAUAAGCGUCGGUAAGGUGAUAUGAACCGUUAUAACCGGCGAUUUCCGAAUGGGGAAACCCAGUGUGAUUCGUCACACUAUCAUUAACUGAAUCCAUAGGUUAAUGAGGCGAACCGGGGGAACUGAAACAUCUAAGUACCCCGAGGAAAAGAAAUCAACCGAGAUUCCCCCAGUAGCGGCGAGCGAACGGGGAGGAGCCCAGAGCCUGAAUCAGUGUGUGUGUUAGUGGAAGCGUCUGGAAAGGCGCGCGAUACAGGGUGACAGCCCCGUACACAAAAAUGCACAUACUGUGAGCUCGAUGAGUAGGGCGGGACACGUGGUAUCCUGUCUGAAUAUGGGGGGACCAUCCUCCAAGGCUAAAUACUCCUGACUGACCGAUAGUGAACCAGUACCGUGAGGGAAAGGCGAAAAGAACCCCGGCGAGGGGAGUGAAAAAGAACCUGAAACCGUGUACGUACAAGCAGUGGGAGCACGCUUCGGCGUGUGACUGCGUACCUUUUGUAUAAUGGGUCAGCGACUUAUAUUCUGUAGCAAGGUUAACCGAAUAGGGGAGCCGAAGGGAAACCGAGUCUUAACUGGGCGUUAAGUUGCAGGGUAUAGACCCGAAACCCGGUGAUCUAGCCAUGGGCAGGUUGAAGGUUGGGUAACACUAACUGGAGGACCGAACCGACUAAUGUUGAAAAAUUAGCGGAUGACUUGUGGCUGGGGGUGAAAGGCCAAUCAAACCGGGAGAUAGCUGGUUCUCCCCGAAAGCUAUUUAGGUAGCGCCUCGUGAAUUCAUCUCCGGGGGUAGAGCACUGUUUCGGCAAGGGGGUCAUCCCGACUUACCAACCCGAUGCAAACUGCGAAUACCGGAGAAUGUUAUCACGGGAGACACACGGCGGGUGCUAACGUCCGUCGUGAAGAGGGAAACAACCCAGACCGCCAGCUAAGGUCCCAAAGUCAUGGUUAAGUGGGAAACGAUGUGGGAAGGCCCAGACAGCCAGGAUGUUGGCUUAGAAGCAGCCAUCAUUUAAAGAAAGCGUAAUAGCUCACUGGUCGAGUCGGCCUGCGCGGAAGAUGUAACGGGGCUAAACCAUGCACCGAAGCUGCGGCAGCGACACUAUGUGUUGUUGGGUAGGGGAGCGUUCUGUAAGCCUGUGAAGGUGUGCUGUGAGGCAUGCUGGAGGUAUCAGAAGUGCGAAUGCUGACAUAAGUAACGAUAAAGCGGGUGAAAAGCCCGCUCGCCGGAAGACCAAGGGUUCCUGUCCAACGUUAAUCGGGGCAGGGUGAGUCGACCCCUAAGGCGAGGCCGAAAGGCGUAGUCGAUGGGAAACAGGUUAAUAUUCCUGUACUUGGUGUUACUGCGAAGGGGGGACGGAGAAGGCUAUGUUGGCCGGGCGACGGUUGUCCCGGUUUAAGCGUGUAGGCUGGUUUUCCAGGCAAAUCCGGAAAAUCAAGGCUGAGGCGUGAUGACGAGGCACUACGGUGCUGAAGCAACAAAUGCCCUGCUUCCAGGAAAAGCCUCUAAGCAUCAGGUAACAUCAAAUCGUACCCCAAACCGACACAGGUGGUCAGGUAGAGAAUACCAAGGCGCUUGAGAGAACUCGGGUGAAGGAACUAGGCAAAAUGGUGCCGUAACUUCGGGAGAAGGCACGCUGAUAUGUAGGUGAAGCGACUUGCUCGUGGAGCUGAAAUCAGUCGAAGAUACCAGCUGGCUGCAACUGUUUAUUAAAAACACAGCACUGUGCAAACACGAAAGUGGACGUAUACGGUGUGACGCCUGCCCGGUGCCGGAAGGUUAAUUGAUGGGGUUAGCGGUAACGCGAAGCUCUUGAUCGAAGCCCCGGUAAACGGCGGCCGUAACUAUAACGGUCCUAAGGUAGCGAAAUUCCUUGUCGGGUAAGUUCCGACCUGCACGAAUGGCGUAAUGAUGGCCAGGCUGUCUCCACCCGAGACUCAGUGAAAUUGAACUCGCUGUGAAGAUGCAGUGUACCCGCGGCAAGACGGAAAGACCCCGUGAACCUUUACUAUAGCUUGACACUGAACAUUGAGCCUUGAUGUGUAGGAUAGGUGGGAGGCUUUGAAGUGUGGACGCCAGUCUGCAUGGAGCCGACCUUGAAAUACCACCCUUUAAUGUUUGAUGUUCUAACGUUGACCCGUGAUCCGGGUUGCGGACAGUGUCUGGUGGGUAGUUUGACUGGGGCGGUCUCCUCCUAAAGAGUAACGGAGGAGCACGAAGGUUGGCUAAUCCUGGUCGGACAUCAGGAGGUUAGUGCAAUGGCAUAAGCCAGCUUGACUGCGAGCGUGACGGCGCGAGCAGGUGCGAAAGCAGGUCAUAGUGAUCCGGUGGUUCUGAAUGGAAGGGCCAUCGCUCAACGGAUAAAAGGUACUCCGGGGAUAACAGGCUGAUACCGCCCAAGAGUUCAUAUCGACGGCGGUGUUUGGCACCUCGAUGUCGGCUCAUCACAUCCUGGGGCUGAAGUAGGUCCCAAGGGUAUGGCUGUUCGCCAUUUAAAGUGGUACGCGAGCUGGGUUUAGAACGUCGUGAGACAGUUCGGUCCCUAUCUGCCGUGGGCGCUGGAGAACUGAGGGGGGCUGCUCCUAGUACGAGAGGACCGGAGUGGACGCAUCACUGGUGUUCGGGUUGUCAUGCCAAUGGCACUGCCCGGUAGCUAAAUGCGGAAGAGAUAAGUGCUGAAAGCAUCUAAGCACGAAACUUGCCCCGAGAUGAGUUCUCCCUGACUCCCUGAGAGUCCUGAAGGAACGUUGAAGACGACGACGUUGAUAGGCCGGGUGUGUAAGCGCAGCGAUGCGUUGAGCUAACCGGUACUAAUGAACCGUGAGGCUUAACCUUACAACGCCGAAGGUGUUU
rnacentral:rRNA from 1 species